rnacentral:misc_RNA from 1 species
UCCGGCUUAUCACCGGCAGUUUUCUCAGAGUGCUCAGCCUAACCUGUUAGCAACAGAGAAUGAGGGUUGCGCUCGUUGCGGGACUUAACCCAACAUCUCACGACACGAGCUGACGACAGCCAUGCAGCACCUGUGCUCCUCCCACCCGAAGUGAAGGAAUGCCUUUCAGCAUUCCAUAGAGGGCAUGUCGAAUCCUGGUAAGGUUCUUCGCGUUGCCUCGAAUUAAACCACAUGUUCCACCGCUUGUGCGGGUCCCCGUCAAUUUCUUUGAGUUUUAAUCUUGCGACCGUACUCCCCAGGCGGGAUGCUUAACGCGUUAGCUGCGCUACUGAGAGGUAACCCCCCAACAGCUAGCAUCCAUCGUUUACAGCGUGGACUAC